rnacentral:rRNA from 1 species
AUUGAACGCUGGCGGCAUGCCUUACACAUGCAAGUCGAACGGUAACGCGGGGCAACCUGGCGACGAGUGGCGAACGGGUGAGUAACGCAUCGGAACGUACCUGGUAGUGGGGGAUAGCCCGGCGAAAGCCGGAUUAAUACCGCAUACGACCUACGGGUGAAAGCGGGGGAUCGCAAGACCUCGCGCUAUUAGAGCGGCCGAUGUCAGAUUAGGUAGUUGGUGAGGUAAAGGCUCACCAAGCCUUCGAUCUGUAGCUGGUCUGAGAGGACGACCAGCCACACUGGGACUGAGACACGGCCCAGACUCCUACGGGAGGCAG